rnacentral:sRNA from 1 species
CCCUAGCCCUGAUCGUAGCGGCAUCCUUUUUAUGCUGAAUUUUAUUCAGGAUAAAAAGAUAUAGCGAAGAGCGGGAAUAGCU